CAUACUGCCGCCGCCUCCACCGGUAGGUGCUUUCUCUGUCCUCCCCCCCUCCUCCGUCUACAGGUGCUCUCUCCUCCUGUCCGUGCGCCCUUCCCUUCACCGUCGCUCACUGUGCUGCCCUACACGCACAGGUGGUCUUGCUGUCGCCGUCCAAACCCUGCCGGGAGCUUCCCUUUUCGUCCGCGCCCAAGCUCACCAUCUCCUGGAGGUGCUGCCGGCCAAGAAGGUAUGCUCCAAGAUGCCUCUUCCAGAUCCAACUACGACAGUGGGUUGGUUUUAGUCCUUCUAAUGCAAGGUCUUUAUCCACCUCGUGUGUUAUCUAUUUCCCAGCAAUACAACGAUUUCUCUUCGGAAGAAUUGUUUUUCCCCUCCACAUGUUCCUGCUUAUGUUAUGUGUGGAUUUUGAAAUCUAAUUUACACGUACUAUGUGCUUUGAGAAGAAAACAAUGUAGUUUUUUUGCAUGAGCACACCUUCUGCAUAGUGGUCAAUUUGGUUGACCUUCGUUAUCAAAAGAAAUUUGCUUAGUGUAUUGUCAUCAUAAGUAACUAGCAUACUGCUUAAAUUUGGAACAUAGAACUUAGCUAUAAAUCUUAACUAUGAUGAUACUUUGUGGAGAAUGGCACAUUUAGAUUGAUUUUAAUGAUAUAUUUAUUGCUCUGAACCUUGGGUUAUCACCAUAGUUUAGACUCUUGAGUGUUGUUCUGGCUUUGAAAAGUGGGAUCCGAGAGAAUAUAUGAAAAUGCUAAUGAUGUCCUGUGACAAGUUGAGAUCAUGCACAAGAACAAUAAUUAUCUGUGUAGCAGUAAUACAUUAUAAGGCAAACCAAAACUUGAGAUUCUGGUUCAGUUUCAGCUCUUGCCUCCGCCCAUAAAUUAAGAUACCAAUUUAGCGUGGCACCUUUAGUUCCUAGUUGUCAUGAUAACAAUACUGUACCUGACUUGCAUAAUCUCUUGCUAUUCCUUGAUGAGCAGCAACUUAUUUUGAACUUGUAUAUUUUAGAAUUUGCCUUUUCCUGUUAUUUUGUGUGUGGACAAUGUAUGACACCACAUGUAUAACAUUGUUGGUGAACAUUUAAAGCAGUGCCUGGCAAAAGAAGGGGGCCAAACCUACUAACCUGCGGGAUCCGAACGACAUGUGGAUUUCCAAAAGGUUUUUUCUUAUACUGUUAGACACUAUUUGAUAAUGAUAUAAUGAAUUCUUGCUAGACUUAAUUGUUUCCUAUGAAGUUCAAUUCCUGGAACACCUAUUUUGUUUCCUAUGAUCCACAUGCGAGGCAUAGAAAGGGUUUGAUUUUGAUUUUAGUUUCAGUUUCAGAGUUCUAUUCACAUUUUGAAUUUUCUAGUUUUUUUUGUGUGUGGACAGUGUGUGAGGCAUUUAAAUUCACUAUUAAUCAUGUGUGCAGGUGCAACUAGCAUGGACAAAUAUUGGAUGGAUACACCUAGGUACAACACCCCAUAUGUUAAACAUCUUAGAUUAGAUGUUAGUACUUGCUGAAAUCUGAUGCAACGCGCUGCAUAUGUACACUUGCAUGUAGGCAUACGGAGAAGUACUACAAGGGCUUGCCAGAUUCUUACAAUGCAUUUAGUAAAUGUUCAGUUGAGAAUCAGGGAUUCAAUAUUCUAUAUUAUUCUUCUAAGGGUUUUUAGCAUACAAAAGUAUGCAUGGUUGUGCAGACUUUUAGCUUUAUUUUUAACAAGCUAUAGUUAAGUAAAGCAUCUGCUGUUAACGACCUGAUAUUUUUUAGUUGUACAAGUUGUUGCCAUCAAGUUGAAUGACAAAGUGAAACAUAACCUUUAACUUUGUCGUUUGUUUUGAUGUCCUAGUGCAGUGAUACAGCAAACAAUGUAGAAUGCCCUCACUUACUACUGACUAGCAUAUGGAACUAUGUGCUAGUCCAAUAAACACAUCUCCAGUUUCCUAUUAUUUCUUUGUUACAUAGGAAAUACAUGCAGCACUUCGUAAAUGGUUCCUUGUCCCUGUUUUUUUAUUGUGCACAGAGCUUGUAACUUUUCGGUGGGCCACUAUUAGAGGCCUGACCUAUAGAAAUUCACCGUGGUAAAUACCGCCAACCUCGCAGCCUGCUCCUCAUGUAGAUGUAAUUGUGUUGUCUUCAUACUUCACAGGUUUUAUGCUAGCCGUGGAAUAUUUUUCGCCACGUACGUUAUUCACCUAGGUAACUCCGCUGCUCUGUUACCACGAGCAGCUCCAUGCCUCAGUGAGGCCGGUCCCUAUUUUUUAGGACUAGGUGUGCUACUAUUCCUAUUUCCUACUGAUUUGUCCACUUUCUCUCUGUCCUACUACUCUCUUUUCAUUAAUCCCCCGAAUCUCUAAUCUUUGUUUGUGCAGAUUCUCUCUUACCUAUGAAUACAAGGUCGAUGAAAAUCCAAGCAAGUUGCAAGGAAGAUUGAUCUAUGUAAUAAUGCAAUAUGCAAGUUCUGUUGUCUCUGCUUAAUAACUUCUUUUUGUGAAAUUUAGUUGCAUUGAAUGAUUAAUUCCUCUCAUGCCAAUGUGGCAAUGUCUCUCGUCUGAAUUCUCAAUUGUCUUUGCCAGUUACAUAGUGGCUUACAUGCCACCUGGAUACUGGAGUAGCAUAGUAUCUGGGAAUAUGAUUUUAUUCUUUAGUCAUUUGUAUGCCACAUCUGGUAUCGUUGGUCCUUUCUGAAGGCCAAUAUGAAAGGGCAACUUAUAUAUGUCAAAUCGCAUGGGUAUUUUAGUUGGUACUUUCAGGUUUUGAUAUUACUCUAUCACUAGAAUUUCCUUUCGAACAUUGCAAUUAGCUUUUAUCAAAGCAUGGUAAGUAUUGAGAAAUUUGUUCAUCAUACCUCCCAGGUAAACUGGAAGUAUUGUAGUAGUAGUCAAGCAGGAACCAAUUCCAAUUGUAUCCUGGGGAUUUUCUACCUUAUUCUAGCUCCAGUGAAUAAUGUUUGCUGUGGCAGAUAAAGAAUAAUGUUUGCACUUACCUCACCCUGUCCUAAAUUGGUU
rnacentral:lncRNA from 1 species